rnacentral:sRNA from 1 species
UUUUAGCCCCGAUUGAAGUGGAAAUCCUUUUUAUUUUUCCUUUAAAAAUAAAAAGAUUGCAACAAAAAGCGGGAAAUAGC